GAUGAACGCUGGCGGCGUGCCUAAUACAUGCAAGUCGAGCGAACGGACGCGAAGUUUGCUUCUCUGAUGUUAGCGGCGGACGGGUGAGUAACACGUGGAUAACCUACCUCUCAGACUGGGAAACCUUCGGGAAACCGGAGCUAAUACCGGAUGAGAUUUUGAACCACAGGGUUCAAAAGUGAAAGACGCUCUUGCUGUUACUUUUAGAUGGAUCCGCGCUGCAUUAGCUAGUUGGUAAGGUAACGGCUUACGAAGGCAACGAUGCAUAGCCGACCGGAGAGAGUGAUCGGCCACACUGGAACGGAGACACGGUCCAGACUCCUACGGGAGGGAGCAGUAUGGAAUCUUCCGCAGUGGGCGAAAGCCUGACGGAGCAACGCCGCGUGAGUGAUGAAGGUCUUCGGAUCGUAAAACUCUGUUAUUAGGGGAGAACAUAUGUGUAAGUAACUGUGGACAUCUUGACGGUACCUAAUCAGAAAGCCACGGCUAACUACGUG
rnacentral:rRNA from 1 species